ensembl:lncRNA
AGGCCAGGCGGUUCAAGGCCAGGUAAGACAAGGCUUGGCUUUGACUUUCAGCGCUUUGCCCUGCAUGGCCCGGACUUUCUUGGCCGUGCCUCGCCUUGGCUUGCCUAUGCCUUGUUUUGCUUGGACUUGCCUGGCGUGGUCCUGCCUUCCCUAGCUGUGACUGUGCUGGGCUAGCCUCGCCUUUCCUGGAUGUGCCUUGCGUUGGCUGCCGGGCCUGGACAUGCAUGGACUUUCCUUGCCUUGACUGGCCUUGCGUUGCCCUGCCGUGACUAGCCUGGAAAUGCCUUGCCUUGCUCUCCCUGGCCUUAGGUUGCAUGGCCUUGCCUGGCCUGGCUUUGAAUUGGCUUAUUUGCGUUUCCUUGGCUUGCCUGGUUUUGCCUGGCCUUGCCAAGCCGCGCUUUGCCCGGCCUGGCCUGGACUUGACUUGUCUGGCCUGGCUUUGCUUUGUCUUGGCUGGCCUUGCCUUGACUGGCCUUGCAUUGCCUUGCUUUGCCUUUUCCUGCAUGGCCUGGUCUUGCCUUGCGUUGCUUGGCCUUGCCUGGGCCUGUCUGGCCUGGCCUGGCCUGGCCUUGCAUUGCAUUUCUUUGCCUGAUCUUGCCCUGCCUGGCAUGGGCAUGCAUUGCCUUGCCUUGCCUUGCCUUGCCUUGCUUUGGUGUACUUCCACUGGCCUUAUUUGGCCUGGACUGGUUUUGACAAUUGUUGGUUUACCUGGCCUCUCUUGUCCUGGCCUGUUCUGGCGUUAUCUUUCGUGGUAUGUCUGGUCUUGCUUUACCUUUCCUUCUUGCCUUGCCUUGCCUAGUCUUGCCGUUGCGUGCCUGCCCUUUCCUGGCCUUGUGUUGCAUUGCCUUUCCUUCCCUGGCCUUGCCUUGCAUGAUCUGGACUUGACUGGACUUGAGUGGCCUUUCCAGGAUUGGCGUGGCCUUGCCUUAUGAGGGCCUGUAGUGUUUUGCCUUUUUUUGCAUUUCCCUGCCUGGCCUGGAAUUGCCUGGACUUGGCUUGAUUUGAGUGUCCUUGAUUUGUUUUGCGUUGUUUUUCCUGGCCUGGCCUGGACUUGCUAUGCCUGUCCGAUCCUUAUGUUGCAUUGUUAUGCCUUGCAUGACUUUGCGUUGACUUUCCUUGCUUUGUCUUGUUUUGCUUGGACUUGCCUUGCCUUGCCUUACCCUGCCUGGCCUGGACUCGCCUGGACUUGCCUUGUUUUGCCUUGCCUUGCCUGGCCUUGCCUUGCUUCAAUGUGACUGGUGUGGACAAGCCUGGCCUUUCCUGGACGGCCUAGCCCGGCAUUGCCUUGCCUGUCUGGCCUGGAG